CCUACGGGGGGCAGCAGUGAGGAAUAUUGGUCAAUGGACGAGAGUCUGAACCAGCCAAGUAGCGUGAAGGAUGACUGCCCUAUGGGUUGUAAACUUCUUUUAUAUGGGAAUAAAAUGUUCCACGUGUGGGAUUUUGUAUGUACCAUAUGAAUAAGGAUCGGCUAACUCCGUGCCAGCAGCCGCGGUAAUACGGAGGAUCCGAGCGUUAUCCGGAUUUAUUGGGUUUAAAGGGAGCGUAGGUGGGUUGUUAAGUCAGUUGUGAAAGUUUGCGGCUCAACCGUAAAAUUGCAGUUGAAACUGGCAGUCUUGAGUGCAGUAGAGGUGGGCGGAAUUCGUGGUGUAGCGGUGAAAUGCUUAGAUAUCACGAAGAACUCCGAUUGCGAAGGCAGUUCACUGGACUGCAACUGACACUGAGGCUCGAAAGUGUGGGUAUCAAACAGGAUUAGAUACCCGAGUAGUC
rnacentral:rRNA from 1 species